GAGCGUGGGCCUUGGAUCAGACAACCUGAGUUCAAUUCCAGACUUAUUCCUUCUGAGGGACUUGGGUAAUAACUACUUGGAUAAUGAGAACAACCAGCGAUUAUCUGGCACCUAUUCACCAGGGCCAUACCCCACCAGGGAAAGGUGCAGCAAAGCUUUCUUCAGAAAGAAGGAAAACAGAUAAGGUCUUCACCUGCUGGGACAUCAGAGGCCCACAGAGGAGAACCUGCAAUGCCGUCUUCACAGGUCUCUCUCAUGCUUGCACAGCUGAAGGUAUAUUCUCAGCAGUGCCCGCAUCGAAGGCCACAGGGUUUGCUGGAAGAAUCUCUGUCACUUUCUGGAAGGAAGCCCAUAUCUCAUCACUAAUGAGAGCAUCCUCUUUCUCACUGAUGUUUUCUGAAGGAAGAAAGAACAACUUUCCACUUUCUGGAUGAGAACGCAGUGUUCUCUCACCCACUCCCCAGCCCCAUAACCAUCCCUAACUAAAGGGUUCCAGGGAAUCUUGGUUUAUUUUCUUGUCUUCAUCCUUGUGAGGAUUUAAUAUACUGAGUUCUGUGCAUCAACCCUUAA